CAAUAUUAAUUUCACUCUUGUAUUGUUACAGGGAAACUUUAUGGUGAUGUUCCUUUUAUAGAAGAAAGACACAGACAUCGGUAUGAGGUGAACCCUGCCUUGGUCAACCAAUUUGAGCAGAGUGACUUAAAUUUUGUAGGUCAGGAUGUUGAUGGGGAGAGGAUGGAAAUCAUUGAACUGGCAAAUCACCCCUAUUUUGUUGGUGUCCAAUUCCAUCCUGAGUUUUCUUCUAGGCCGAUGAAGCCUUCCCCUCCAUACCUGGGACUAUUACUUGCAGCAACUGGGAACCUGAAUGCCUACCUACAACAGGGAUGCAAACUGUCCUCCAGUGAUAGAUACAGUGAUGCCAGUGAUGACAGCUUUUCAGAGCCAAGGAUAGCUGAGUUGGAAAUAAGCUACAACUAAUACAUGACUCGGAAUGGCAGGCGCUGCCUGAGAGGGCUCUGAAGUAAUUGAAGCCAAGAUAAAGCAACUAUCUGAAGAAAUCACCACAUUCUUAAAGAAUCACAAAACAUGUGAUGAAAGCCUCAAAGGAAAUCAAAUAAUAUGUACUUUCAUGAAGCAGAACCAAAGGGGCACUUUCCUUUCUUUCCUCCAGAGGUGGCCUUUGGGUCUCACAGAUUGCUCUAGCCGAUUAAACAUUUCCCAACAACCUGA